rnacentral:rRNA from 1 species
CAGCGAUGCCGCGUGAGUGAAGAAGGCCUUUGGGUUGUAAAGCUCUUUCGUCGGGGAAGAAAAUGACUGUACCCGAAUAAGAAGGUCCGGCUAACUUCGUGCCAGCAGCCGCGGUAAUACGAAGGGACCUAGCGUAGUUCGGAAUUACUGGGCUUAAAGAGCUCGUAGGUGGUUAAAAAAGUUGGUGGUGAAAUCCCAAAGCUUAACUCUGGAACUGCCAUCAAAACUUUUUAACUAGAGUAUGAUAGAGGAAAGUGGAAUUUCUAGUGUAGAGGUGAAAUUCGUAGAUAUUAGAAAGAAUACCAAUUGCGAAGGCAGCUUUCUGGAUCAUUACUGACACUGAGGAGCGAAAGCAUGGGUAGCGAAAAGGAUUAGAUACCCUCGUAGUCCAUGCCGUAAACGAUGUGUGCUAGACGUUGGA